UACAUUCAGUGAAACCUGGUAUACUUUGGAUUAACCACACUGAUCCACCUGAGAUUUGGAGUAAUUUAGUGUCAUAGUAAUGUCUCAAAUCAAGCUAGGAAAAAAUGCAUUAUUGUUCCUCUCUGGGGCAUUGUACCAAGAUCAAAAAUUACAACUCUGGUUCUUUGUGUUUAAAACAGAUUUAAUCACUGUAGUAUCAAAUACAAAAACAGUGUUUUAAUGGUAACAUUUGUUUUCCCUUCUUGUUAAAGAAGUGAAAUACAAAGUUAAUGAAAUCUGAUUUACUAUUAAUUAUUGUUUGCAUGUAGCUCUUAUUACAAACUAGCGAAUACACUUUGAAUUCCAUAGUCCUUUUAUUUUAGUAUAGGUUGGGAAAUGGAUGGUAAAAAGGUGACUCCACAGACUUCCACGUCAUCUUCCAUAAAAUGAGAAUGUGAUACCACCAUAUUUUUAUAUAUUAUCUGAUAUAAAAAUUUUCACAUGGAGCCAUAGAUAAAGGUUGGAAGAGGUGCUGAGGUUGCCCAGAGGGAGUAGUCUUUUGGACAGCAUGAAAAAAGCAGCCACAAUAAACCUCUCAGAACCACAGCUAAAACAUCAUGAGAUUUACAGACUAGUUUUUUAAAUGUUGCUUGGGACUUUAAAAGUAAUAACUUUAUGUACACUAGCUUAGGUAGAAAUUUCCUUUAAACUAUCUUCAUUUUCACACUUAGCAGAAAAAAUCUGUAGGAUUUAAUAAAAAUGUAUAUCCUUGGUAUGGAAUUUUAUAAAAUGGUUUAAAAGAAUUAUAGAAAAUAAAUACUUCUUUCUUACAUUCUGUAUCUAUCCAGAGUAAUUUCUAUAUAUCUAACCCUACUGGCUUCAUCCCUGCUGAAUACUAU